AACGAACGCUGGCGGCAUGCCUAACACAUGCAAGUCGAACGAGACCUUCGGGUCUAGUGGCGCACGGGUGCGUAACGCGUGGGAACCUGCCCUUAGGUUCGGAAUAACUCCCCGAAAGGGGUGCUAAUACAGGAUAAUGUCUUCGGACCAAAGAUUUAUCGCCUUUGGAUGGGCCCGCGUUGGAUUAGCUAGUUGGUAGGGUAAAAGCCUACCAAGGCGACGAUCCAUAGCUGGUCUGAGAGGAUGAUCAGCCACACUGGGACUGAGACACGGCCCAGACUCCUACGGGAGGCAGCAGUGGGGAAUGUUGGACAAUGGGCGAAAGCCUGAUCCAGCAAUGCCGCGUGAGUGAUGAAGUCCUUAGGGUUGUAAAGCUCUUUUACCCGGGAUGAUAAUGACAGUACCGGGAGAAUAAGCUCCGGCUAACUCCGUG
rnacentral:rRNA from 1 species